rnacentral:rRNA from 1 species
UACGUAGGGUGCAGGCGUUAAUCGGAAUUACUGGGCGUAAAGCGUGCGUAGGCGGUUUGUUAAGACAGGUGUGAAAUCCCCGGGCUUAACCUGGGAACUGCGCUUGUUACUGGCAGACUGGAGUGUGGCAGAGGGGGGUGGAAUUCCAGGUGUAGCAGCGAAAUGCGUAGAUAUCUGGAGGAACACCGAUGGCGAAGGCAGCCCCCUGGGCUAACACUGACGCUGAUGCACGAAAGCGUGGGGAGCAAACAGG